CCUACGGGAGGCAGCAGUGAGGAAUAUUGGUCAAUGGACGAGAGUCUGAACCAGCCAAGUAGCGUGAAGGAUGACUGCCCUAUGGGUUGUAAACUUCUUUUAUAUGGGAAUAAAAUGUUCCACGUGUGGGAUUUUGUAUGUACCAUAUGAAUAAGGCUCGGCUAACUCCGUGCCAGCAGCCGCGGUAAUACGGAGGAACCGAGCGUUAUCCGGAUUUAUUGGGUUUAAAGGGAGCGUAGGUGGAUUGUUAAGUCAGUUGUGAAAGUUUGCGGCUCAACCGUAAAAUUGCAGUUGAAACUGGCAGUCUUGAGUACAGUAGAGGUGAGCGGAAUUCGUGGUGUAGCGGUGAAAUGCUUAGAUAUCACGAAGAACUCCGAUUGCGAAGGCAGUUCACUGGACUGCAACUGACACUGAGGCUCGAAAGUGUGGGUAUCAAACAGGAUUAGAUACCCCAGUAGUC
rnacentral:rRNA from 1 species